rnacentral:SRP_RNA from 2 species
UUUGGCUCUGCUAACAGGAAAGUACCCAACUCCGUCAGGUCCGGAAGGAAGCAGCGGUAAGUAUGUAUCUUGUGUAGUCAGAGCCUUUUUU